rnacentral:rRNA from 1 species
AUGGUGGGGAACGACGGGAUCAACAGCUACCUGGAGGCCAUCCUCGACGCUGGGGGCGCCUUGCCAUACACAUAUAUGUUGCUUGACCUUUGUGGUUUUGAUGCUCCUUCAAUUGAAGGAGAGGAAGCCUCCCGCUCAUCGAAGAAACAUCUUGAGUGUGAGAAGGCCCGUCGAGAUGCUGCUGCUGAUUUGUCCGAGGACCUAUCUGACGGAGAAAAAGGAGAACAUAUUAAUGAAUCAUCUAUUCACGCUGAGAGUACAAGGGGACACAUGCCAAGGAUAGGGUCAACUGAUGCUAUUGAUGUUUGGGCAAAUCAGCACAAAGAUAAAAAACUGUACAUAGUGCUAAUAAGGUCAAAUAUGUUGUAG